rnacentral:SRP_RNA from 1 species
CAAGGGUGUACCAACAAUAAAUGGUUAUGAACCCCGCCAGAUCUGGAAGGAAGCAACGGUAAUAAUUUUUUUUUGUGUUGGAUGAUAUUCUUGGUG